UACGAAGGGAGCUAGCGUUGUUCGGAAUUACUGGGCGUAAAGGGCGCGUAGGCGGCUUUGUAAGUCAGAUGUGAAAGCCCCGGGCUUAACCUGGGAACUGCAUUUGAUACUGCAAGGCUAGAGGAUGAGAGAGGAAAGUGGAAUUACGAGUGUAGAGGUGAAAUUCGUAGAUAUUCGUAAGAACACCAGUGGCGAAGGCGGCUUUCUGGCUCAUUACUGACGCUAAGGCGCGAAAGCGUGGGGAGCAAACAGG
rnacentral:rRNA from 1 species